rnacentral:rRNA from 1 species
CCUACGGGUGGCUGCAGUGGGGAAUAUUGGACAAUGGGGGCAACCCUGAUCCAGCCAUGCCGCGUGUGUGAAGAAGGCCCUCGGGUUGUAAAGCACUUUCAGUGAGGAAGAACGCCUGGUGGUUAAUACCCAUCAGGAAAGACAUCACUCACAGAAGAAGCACCGGCUAACUCCGUGCCAGCAGCCGCGGUAAUACGGAGGGUGCGAGCGUUAAUCGGAAUUACUGGGCGUAAAGCGCGCGUAGGUGGCUUGAUAAGCCGGUUGUGAAAGCCCCGGGCUCAACCUGGGAACGGCAUCCGGAACUGUCAAGCUAGAGUGCAGGAGAGGGAGGUAGAAUUCCCGGGGUAGCGGUGAAAUGCGUAGAGAUCGGGAGGAAUACCAGUGGCGAAGGCGGCCUUCUGGACUGACACUGACACUGAGGUGCGAAAGCGUGGGUAGCAAACAGGAUUAGAUACCCUUGUAGGC